UGUAAAAUACUAUUUUUGUUUGUAACUGUCUCUUUGUUUUGGUUUUGUAAAAUGGUGAAGCAAAUUGAUCUUUGUUUUGUGGAUAAAAACGGUUACUGACGCCACGCACGGAUGAAAAAUUAUGUGUGCACCUCGGGAAGAAGUAGAAAAUUC